rnacentral:rRNA from 1 species
CCACGGUUUCUAUUUUUAAGACGGGCCCGGCUAUCGCUACAAGAUGGACCCGCGGCGCAUUAGCUAGUUGGUGAGGUAACGGCUCACCAAGGCAACGAUACAUAGCCGACCUGAGAGGGUGAUCGUCCACACUGGGACUGAGACACGGCCCAGACUCCUUCGGGAGGCAGCAGUAGGGAAUCUUCGGCAAUGGGCGAAAGUCUGACCGAGCACCCCCGCGUGAGUGAAGAAGGUUUUCGGAUCGUAAAGCUCUGUUGUUAGGGAAGAACAAGUGUGAGAGUAACUGUUCCCCUCAUGACGGUAUUUAACCAAAAAAACACGGCUAACUACGUCCCAACAAGCGCGGUAAUUCGUAGGUGGCAAGCGUUGUCCGGAAUUAUUGGGCGUAAAGCGGGCGCAGGCGGUUUUUUAAGUUUGAUGUGAAAGCCCCCGGCUCCUCCGAGGAGGGUCAUUGGAAACUGGGAAACUUGAGUGCAGAAGAGGAGAGUGGAAUUCCAUGUGUAGCGGUGAAAUGCGUAGAUAUAUGGAGGAACACCAGUGGCGAAGGCGGCUCUCUGGUCUGUAUCUGACGCUGAGGCUCGAAAGCGUGGGGAGCAAACAGGAUUAGAUACCCUGGUAGUCCACGCCGUAAACGAUGAGUGUUAAGUGUUAGGGGGUUUCCGCCCCUCAGUGCCGCAGCUAACGCAUUAAGCACUCCGAAG